rnacentral:rRNA from 1 species
UGGGGAAUAUUGCACAAUGGGCGCAAGCCUGAUGCAGCCAUGCCGCGUGUGUGAAGAAGGCCUUCGGGUUGUAAAGCACUUUCAGCGGGGAGGAAGGCGUUAAGGUUAAUAACCUUGGCGAUUGACGUUACCCGCAGAAGAAGCACCGGCUAACUCCGUGCCAGCAGCCGCGGUAAUACGGAGGGUGCAAGCGUUAAUCGGAAUUGCUGGGCGUAAAGCGCACGCAGGCGGUCUGUCAAGUCGGAUGUGAAAUCCCCGGGCUCAACCUGGGAACUGCAUUCGAAACUGGCAGGCUAGAGUCUUGUAGAGGGGGGUAGAAUUCCAGGUGUAGCGGUGAAAUGCGUAGAGAUCUGGAGGAAUACCGGUGGCGAAGGCGGCCCCCUGGACAAAGACUGACGCUCAGGUGCGAAAGCGUGGGGAGCAAACAGG